rnacentral:rRNA from 1 species
GACGAACGCUGGCGGCGUGCCUAAUACAUGCAAGUCGAACGCAGUGGGGACGGGUGAGUAACACGUGGGUAACCUCCCAUCAGAGGGGAUAACACUUGGAAACAGGUGCUAAACCCAACCUGAUGGAUGGCCCCGCGGUGCAUUAACUAGUUGGGGAGGUACCGGCUCACCAAGGCCAAGAUGCAUAGCCGACCUGCGAGGGUGAUCGGCCACACUGGGACUGAGACACGGCCCAGACGCCUACGGGAGGCAGAAGUAGGGAAUCUUCGGCAAUGGACGAAAGUCUGACCGAGCAACGCCGCGUGAGUGAAGAAGGUUUUCGGAUCGUAAAACUCUGUUGUUAGAGAAGCGGUAUCUAACCAGAAAGCCACGGCUAACUACGUGCCAGCAGCCGCGGUAAUAC